CCUACGGGAGGCAGCAGUGGGGAAUAUUGGACAAUGGGGGGAACCCUGAUCCAGCCAUGCCGCGUGUGUGAAGAAGGCCCUCGGGUUGUAAAGCACUUUCAGUGAGGAAGAACGCCUGGUGGUUAAUACCCAUCAGGAAAGACAUCACUCACAGAAGAAGCACCGGCUAACUCCGUGCCAGCAGCCGCGGUAAUACGGAGGGGGCGAGCGUUAAUCGGAAUUACUGGGCGUAAAGCGCGCGUAGGUGGCUUGAUAAGCCGGUUGUGAAAGCCCCGGGCUCAACCUGGGAACGGCAUCCGGAACUGUCAAGCUAGAGUGCAGGAGAGGAAGGUAGAAUUCCCGGUGUAGCGGUGAAAUGCGUAGAGAUCGGGAGGAAUACCGGUGGCGAAGGCGGCCUUCUGGACUGACACUGACACUGAGGUGCGAAAGCGUGGGUAGCAAACAGGAUUAGAGACCCUAGUAGUC
rnacentral:rRNA from 1 species